AUUUUAAUUUUUGUGCCAACAUUAUAAAAUAUUAUGCAAAAAAAAAGAGGGCAGAGAAUCCAUAGAAAAUCUCACUUAUGUGAGAGUCUCAUUAACAUUUCUCAUUUAGGAAUUAUGAAGUGCUGGUAGGAAGGAUUGCUCGAUCCCUUAGAAAUUUUUUGUUAAGGGUCGAACUAAUUACGAUGUACCUUUAGUUUAAGUCAAUCGGUUGUGGUCUCAGGUGAUAUUAAUAUAGGAGUGUGAUAUCUACAUAUCUCUUUUUACUUCUCACACAAGGAUGUGUGAGAAGUAAAAAAUGAUGUGCGGAUACUCGCUCAAAAAUGAGAAUUUCUAUAGACUCUCCGUCUAUUUAUUAAUUUUAGAUUUUACACGGCUAAUAUGAUUUGUCUAUUUAUUAUAAGGAAAUGCUAAGGAGACUCGCUCAAAAAUGAGAAUCUUUAUAGACUCUCCGUCACCUCAUAUUUUUGUAGCACAAUAUUUUGAUAAUGUGGACACUAAAAUUUUGCUAAAAACAUGAGGUGGCGGAGAAUUUCUAGCAUAUCUCACUUUGAAGAGUCUUCUUAGCAUUUCUCUUUAUUAUAUAAUAUCUAGAUUAUUGAAUUUGGUUGAACUUUAGCAUAAUUGAUAUUUAAAGAGUAAUAUCAAAAAUAAAAGAUUUAAAUUACGACAUUGCAAAAUAAAAAAACAAAAUAAAACAUAUAGCGAAAAAAUUUAAAUGAGAAUGUGACUAACAUUGGUUAGGAAUUAAUG
rnacentral:lncRNA from 1 species